rnacentral:rRNA from 1 species
UACAGAGGGUGCGAGCGUUGUCCGGAAUCACUGGGCGUAAAGGGCGCGUAGGCGGUCUGGUAAGCGUGUGGUGAAAGCUUCGGGCUCAACCCGGAGUCGGCCGUGCGAACUGCGAGACUGGAGCAUGUCAGAGGCAGGCGGAAUUCCGGGUGUAACGGUGGAAUGCGUAGAGAUCCGGAAGAACACCGGUGGCGAAGGCGGCCUGCUGGGACAUUGCUGACGCUGAGGCGCGACAGCGUGGGGAGCAAACAGG